CAGAGUUCAUGCCCUCACGGGUAGAUCUCCCACCCUUGAAUAUAUUACCUUUGUUGCUUUGGCGGGCCGCUUUGUCCACUGGCUUUGGCUAGUGUGUGCCCGCCAGAGGUCCAAAAUUCUGAUUUACAGUGUCGUCUGAGUACUAUAUAAUAGUUA
rnacentral:misc_RNA from 1 species